rnacentral:lncRNA from 1 species
AACAAGACUGUUGUUUAUGAACAUUCUAAAUAUCAUUUUAUGGUUCGUUUAAGUAUUAUAAGAUCAUAUGAUAGGGCUAUAGAAUAUGUUUUAAUAACAUGAUAGUGCUAUCCAAUAUGUAUUAAUAUAAAAGCAGUCGAGAUUUUUAUGCAAAAUAUCAUUUUACAACCAAAUUUCCCUGUUAAAAAAAGAAAAAAAAUUCCCUGUUAUUAAAUCCAAACUCAUGAUACCGUAUGACCUACAAAUACGCGACUUCAAAACUUUAAAAUAUUAUUGGAUUUGUAUAAUAUUUACCACAUUAAUGCUUAGAUAUCAAAAAUUGUACCCUUUUACACGUAUAUGCAAGCUAAUCUUCAAAGUAUCUACACUUAAACAAAACAGGAUUUCAGAAAUAUACCUAUCAAAUUCAGUCACUGUAGAAUACUUAAACUAGUAUAAUAGAAAAUAUAACAAUACUUAAAUUCAUAAACUUUUAAUGUCUAUGAAUAGUAAAAAUAAAUUUUAAAUCUAAAAUAAAUGAAAAGUAAAGCUUUAGGAUUUUCGAUAAGAAAAAAAAAAGAAAACCAAUACCAAAACACAUAAAAUAUUAUCUUUCAAUUUAUUAUUUUAGGUGGUAUAGUGAAAUCUUCACCAAAAUCUAAAAAUCAUAAACAAAAUAGUUUAAUCGAUGUUAUAUGAUAAAAUCAGAAAGUUCAAUGCAAGUUUGGAAAUAAAACACAGAUUUUAAUAAUCGAAACUUAAAAAAAAAAUAAUAAGUUAAAUCACUUGCUGGUUCAGCCGGUGGUUCAACGGUUGUCAGGCUACCGGAUUUAAGGAUUUUUAAUGAUGUUAUCGAAUUUUUAAAUAAUGGAUAUUUUCUAAAACCCAAACUGGAUUAUUUACUGAGUCACCGAGUUUAUCAAUUUGACCACGGGUCCGGGUCAGACAUCAAAACACUGCUCGAGACUCUUAAAAACUUUUAAGUAUCUAUUGCAAAAUCAUAAACUAAUAACAUUAAAUUUUAACAUAGUCUUGAAGAAUUUUAAUUGAAUAACACCAGAAUCACUAUAAAACCUAAAUCUUUAGAAGUGUAUAAAUAAUCUAUCCAAU